rnacentral:rRNA from 1 species
AGCGAACGCUGGCGGCAGGCCUAACACAUGCAAGUCGAACGAACUCUUCGGAGUUAGUGGCGGACGGGUGAGUAACACGUGGGAACGUGCCUUUAGGUUCGGAAUAACUCAGGGAAACUUGUGCUAAUACCGAAUGUGCCCUUCGGGGGAAAGAUUUAUCGCCCUUAGACGGGCCCGCGUCGGAUAGGUAGUUGUUGGGGUAACGGCCUACCAAGCCUAGGAUCCGUAGCUGAUCUGAGAGGAUGAUCAGCCACACUGGGACUGCGACAGGGCCCAGACGCCUACGGGAGGCAGCAGUGGGGAAUCUGAGACAAUGGGGGCAGGCCUGAUCCAGCCAUGCCGCGUGAGUGAAAAAGGCCUUAGAGUUGUAAAGCUCUUUUACCAGGGACGAUAAUGACGGUACCUGGAGAAUAAGCCCCGGCAAACUCCGUGCCAGCCGCCGCCGUAAGAC